rnacentral:rRNA from 1 species
UACGUAGGGACCAAGCGUUGUUCGGAUUUACUGGGCGUAAAGAGCGCGCAGGCGGUCGUUCAAGUCGAGUGUGAAAGCCCCCGGCUCAACUGGGGAGGGUCAUUCGAUACUGAUCGACUCGAAGGCAGGAGAGGGAAGUGGAAUUCCCGGUGUAGUGGUGAAAUGCGUAGAUAUCGGGAGGAACACCAGUGGCGAAGGCGACUUCCUGGCCUGUUCUUGACGCUGAGGCGCGAAAGCUAGGGGAGCAAACGGG